UACGGAGGGUGCGAGCGUUGUCCGGAAUCACUGGGCGUAAAGGGCGCGUAGGCGGCGGGACAAGCGUGCGGUGAAAGCUCGGGGCUCAACCCCGAGUCGGCCGUGCGAACUGUUUUGCUUGAGCACUGUAGAGGCAGGCGGAAUUCCGGGUGUAGCGGUGGAAUGCGUAGAGAUCCGGAAGAACACCGGUGGCGAAGGCGGCCUGCUGGGCAGUAGCUGACACUGAGGCGCGACAGCGUGGGGGAGCAAACAGG
rnacentral:rRNA from 1 species